CUGAUAGGUCGAAUUGGAUAGGCAAAAAUAUUUAGUGCGGGUAGGCAAAAGUUAGGAGUGAGGUGUUGAUUCAAUGCGGUGAAUGUUGAAAUGUGUGUUGAAUGGUUUUGUUUUAUCACUUUUGGAUCAAUUGUACUAUUUGGCCGAGGAAUGCCCCGAAGUAUCUGUAUAUCUUUAUUCACCGGGGAAUGCCCUGAGGUAUUUUGUACUCGAAGGACGUUCGUGAUGAAGGCCCGAGGCGUCG
rnacentral:lncRNA from 1 species